UGGCAGUCACCUUAUCACCCCCGCAUACUACAUCUGAAACCAGGAAGACGUAGUUAACUCUUCUCACAGUCAAGAUUGGACAGUGAUCCUUCCUCAGAAUUUUGACAGAGCCCUGCUGCAGCCUUCCCAAUACAGACUUCGACUGAACUUAUUUUGCACCUGGGGUGAUUGCCCCAGCCCUGCCACCAGCAGGCUCAAUCUAUUGCUUCUCAACAGUACGAAGUUGGAUGAUGUUUUUCGACCUAACAUGAGAACAUGG